UACGUAGGGUGCGAGCGUUAAUCGGAAUUACUGGGCGUAAAGAGUGCGUAGGCGGUUUCUCAAGUCCGCUGUGAAAUCCCCGGGCUCAACCUGGGAAUGGCAGUGGAAACUAGGAGACUUGAAUCUGGCAGAGGGGGGUGGAAUUCCACGUGUAGCAGUGAAAUGCGUAGAGAUGUGGAGGAACACCGAUGGCGAAGGCAGCCCCCUGGGCUGAGAUUGACGCUCAGGCACGAAAGCGUGGGGAGC
rnacentral:rRNA from 1 species